CUCCGGGAGCUGAUUGGCCCGUAGGAGGAGGGGUGGGCGGCGGGCGCGGGAGGAACCCUGUGGCUGGCGGUUGCCAUGGACGCUCUCGCGCCUAGUAACCACGGCUCCCUGGGAGACCUGCUGGGUCCUGGGGGUGACGGGUGAAGCGCCACUCGAGGGAGAGGCCAAGAAUUCUGGCCUGCAGGCCGUAGACUCGGUAGAUGCAACAUUGACCUUCAACUCAUCAACACACCCCUGUGAGGAAGGUACUGCAGCCCAGCACACAUCCAUACCUGCUGAAGACCUGGGGAGUCGCUUUCUGUAACAACAGGACCAGGAGGAAUUUUUGUAUCUCUCUUGUAUCUCCCUCCCCGGGCCUGGGAGACGCAUCGCCAGCAUCCUUCGAUGACUCCCCCACACCCCAGAGGCCUGUGAGCAUUCACCUCGGAGCUUCAUUUCUGCUUCCACACACAGUACUUCUGGGUGAGCCCAGCACAGCUCCAAGUUUCCCUGCGGAAGAGUCUUCAAGAUUAAAAACAAAAACACAAAAGCAGAGGCGCCUGGCUGGUUCAGUCGGUUAAGCGUCUGACUUCGGCUCGGGUCAUGAUCUCGCGGGUUCGUGCUCGGAGCCUGGAGCCUGCUUCGGUUCUGUGUCUCCCUCUCUCUCUGCCCCUCCCCCACGUACAUGCUGUCUCUCUCUCUCUCUCUCUCUUUCUCAAAAAUAAAUAAACAUUAAAAAAAAAAAAAGCA
rnacentral:lncRNA from 1 species